GACGAACGCUGGCGGCGUGCUUAACACAUGCAAGUCGAACGCUGAAGACCUGGCUUUUGUUGGGUUGGAUGAGUGGCGAACGGGUGAGUAACACGUGAGUAACCUGCCCUCUUCUUUGGGAUAACGCCCGGAAACGGGUGCUAAUACUGGAUAUUCACUGAUCUUCGCAUGGGGGUUGGUGGAAAGGUUUGUUCUGGUGGGGGAUGGGCUCGCGGCCUAUCAGGUUGUUGGUGGGGUUAUGGCCUACAAAGGCUGUGACGGGUAGCCGGCCUGGCAGGGUGACCGGUCACAUUGGAACUGGGAUACGGCCCUGACUGCUGCGGGAGGCGGGAGUGGGGAAUAUUGGGCGAUGGCCGGACGCCGCAAGCACGGGCGCGGCGUGAGGGUUGGCGGCCUUCGGGUUGUAGACCUCUUUCACUAAUGGUCAAGCCGCAACUGUGGGUUGUGGUGAGGGUAGUGGGUAAAGAAGCGCCGGCUAACUACGUG
rnacentral:rRNA from 1 species